AAUUAAUUAAGUGGCACAAAAGUUUCCUUCCAAUAUUUUUCACAUGGCAUCGGAGAAUUGUCCGAUCCCUUAAAUGUCGCUUGACCAAGUAUCGCAUGGCCCCAAACACUCACAGCUUCACGUUCUUGGAAGUCACCUCCAAUCAAGAGACAGUGGAUACAAGCAACGAUGGUGGAUAAGAUGAUGGAGUCAUGUCCAUCACUACACACAAACUCAAUGGUCAUGAUUAUCUCCACUGAUAAUAAUCAGUUAGGAUGUUCAUAUGUGGAUUUAGCACAUUCUCUUUGGUUUGGUGGGUAUUCUGUCCUUGCUUUGGUUGUUGGUAUUUUGGUGGCUGUUUGAUCUUUUGGUAAUUUGAACUGAUAUUUUAGUGGUUUGAUCGAUUUUACCCCUUCGAGAUUUAUUUAUAAGUGCAUUUUAUGCACUUAUUUGAACUUCUAUUUUUAUUCGAU
rnacentral:lncRNA from 1 species